rnacentral:rRNA from 1 species
GACAAACGGAUCGAGUUAAGAUUUAUUUAGUAAAAAAGGAGGUUGGAAAAGUAUGUAUUGGAAAUCUGCUUUUUUUUAUAGAGGUGAAAUUUGUAUAAAAAUGGUUAGUCUUUUGUUUUCUUAAUUUUUGAUGCCUCGAAAGUUUAGUGUAAGACCGGGAUUAGAUACCCCGUUAUUGAUCCUGUAAACUUUAAUUAAUUGUGAUUUACUUGGGUAUUACGGGUUGGAGUGAAUUUUGUUAGUAGCUUGCAUAUGCUUAAAACCCAAAAAACUUGGCGGUGCCUUAAUUCUUUCCGGGGGAACCUGUCCUUUAAUCGAUGGUCCACGAUUUAGCUUACCUUGUUUUGAAUAGUUAGUUUAUUACUAACAGUACAGCUUGUAUACCGUCGUCGUCAGAUUACCUUUAAGAGAUGAGAAGUUGUCGGGUGGAAUGGACCUAGUAUAACUUAGAUUUAGGUGAGUGGGUUGAAUUCUAGAUGUCAGAUCAAGGUGCAGUUUAUAGCAAGGGAGAGAUGGGUUACAAUAGUUAUUCAAUAUACGGAAUUUGUUUUGUAAUAGAUAAAUUGAAGGUGGACUCGGGAGUAAUGUAAUUACAGUAGAGAGGUUUUAUGAAAAUUAGUGCUGAGGUGCGC